GGCCGCAGGACAACCGUUCAUCUGGCACGAGAUAGCGACACGUGGUGGGUUGACCGACCAGGUGGGAUAGGCAGAGACGGUGCUUUUUGUCGCUUCCCCGUUCCCCUCCCUCCCUCUCCUCCCGCACGGCGACAGGGCGAGAUAAAUCGAUUCGUAUGCGAGCGUCGCCGGCGACCGACGACAAGCGGCGGACCGGCGAAGCGAGCGCCACAUCAGGGGAAGGUGGUCACCAGCAAGUCCACGGGGCGGGGGGUGGGUGUGGUGAGUUGCUCGCGAGCGCGACCAGGGAGAAGAGGGAGUUGGGCGUGGCGGCGGCCGACGGGGGACGAGGCUCUCUGCUACGUGCACGAACAGAGGCAACACAGGGAGAGAUAAGAGGCAAAAAUACUGCAUUAUAUUUUCAUCAUAUGUGUGUUCAGUAGGCAAAUUCUGUGUAAUAUAUGCGCUUAGCAGGCAAUAUUGUCGAAUGCGCACUCAUUUAGGCCCAAUUCUCAGAUCUCUGGAAAUACAGAUUGGCGAGUGUUGCUGAAAUCGAGAAAUUUCCAGAGAAAGACUCAAAUUCCGACAGACAAUCAACAGCUAGAGAAGUCAAGUGCAAGACAUAGGCAACAUAAAAUUUCAAGAGCCAGCAUCUUCUCUAUCAUCCAGUUCUACAGGGAAGAGGGGAGGCAAGAACAUGAGGGGGAGAUUUUGUGCAAGAUCAAGUUUCGCAGCACAUGGUACAGGAGGCAUUUUUGCAGCUUGUAUAUCACACAGGGAUGUACAGAGGUGGAGUUCCACUAGCUCUAGAACUAACAGAAUCAUGCCCAAAAAUUAGGGAGGGCCUUUUUACCUUGGUGUGUUCACGUGAAGAAAUUUGCCCAGUUCUGAAAAAUUCUUUGCUGAAGUUUCUCCAUAGUAUUGCCUAAUCCGCAACAAAGAGUUGCAGACAAAAUUGCGUU